rnacentral:rRNA from 1 species
GUCAAGAGGGAAACAACCCAGACUACCAGCUAAGGUCCCUAAAUCUUACUUAAGUGGAAAACGAUGUGAAGUUACUUAAACAACCAGGAGGUUGGCUUAGAAGCAGCCAUCCUUUAAAGAAAGCGUAAUAGCUCACUGGUCUAGUGAUUUUGCGCGGAAAAUAUAACGGGGCUAAAGUAAGUACCGAAGCUGUAGACUUGCACACAACUUAGAUUAUUUAAGUUUAGAAUAUGAGAAACUAAGUUAUAUGUUUAGUUAUAUUUUUACUGAUUUUUAUAGAGUAAAGAUAGAAAUAAAACUUAGUAAAAUCAGUAAAAAUAUUCUUAGACUAAAGUUAAGUAGUUUAAGUUGUGUGCAAGUGGUAGGAGAGCGUUCUAUUUGCGUCGAAGGUAUACCGGUAAGGAGUGCUGGAGCGAAUAGAAGUGAGCAUGCAGGCAUGAGUAGCGAUAAUUAAUGUGAGAAUCAUUAACGCCGUAAACCCAAGGUUUCCUACGCGAUGCUCGUCAUCGUAGGGUUAGUCGGGUCCUAAGUCGAGUCCGAAAGGGGUAGACGAUGGCAAAUUGGUUAAUAUUCCAAUACCAACAUUAGUGUGCGAUGGAAGGACGCUUAGGGCUAAGGGGGCUAGCGGAUGGAAGUGCUAGUCUAAGGUCGUAGGAGGUUAUACAGGCAAAUCCGUAUAACAAUACUCCGAGAACUGAAAGGCUUUUUGAAGUCUUCGGAUGGAUAGAAGAACCCCUGAUGCCGUCGAGCCAAGAAAAGUUUCUAAGUUUAGCUAAUGUUGCCCGUACCGUAAACCGACACAGGUGGGUGGGAUGAGUAUUCUAAGGCGCGUGGAAGAACUCUCUUUAAGGAACUCUGCAAAAUAGCACCGUAUCU